UAGGUGUUGCCCGUAUCGACCCGGGCAGUGCCGUAGCUAACGCGUUAAGUAUCCCGCCUGGGGAGUACGCACGCAAGUGUGAAACUCAAAGGAAUUGACGGGGGCCCGCACAAGCGGUGGAGUAUGUGGUUUAAUUCGAUGCAACGCGAAGAACCUUACCAAGGCUUGACAUCCCUGGAAUCUUUUGGAAACAGAAGAGUGCCUUCGGGAACCAGGAGACAGGUGGUGCAUGGCUGUCGUCAGCUCGUGUCGUGAGAUGUUGGGUUAAGUCCCGCAACGAGCGCAACCCACGUUUUUAGUUGCCAUCAUUCAGUUGGGCACUCUAGAGAGACUGCCGGUGACAAACCGGAGGAAGGUGUGGAUGACGUCAAGUCAGCAUGCCCCUUACGUCUUGGGCUACACACGUACUACAAUGCUACGGACAAAGGGCAGCCAAUCAGCAAUGACGCGCAAAUCCCAUAAACCGUAGCUCAGUUCAGAUCGUAGGCUGCAACUCGCCUACGUGAAGGCGGAAUCGCUAGUAAUCGCAGGUCAGCAUACUGCGGUGAAUACGUUCCCGGGCCUUGUACACACCGCCCGUCACACCAUGGGAGUUGGUCACGCCCGAAGUGGUUACCCUAACCGUAAGGAGGGGGACCCCUAAGGCAGGGCUGAUGACUGGGGUGAAGUCGUAACAAGGUAACC
rnacentral:rRNA from 1 species